CAGAUGUACACACAAAACUUCACUGAGGCUAUUGUCUCACUAACGUGUCUCGCACAAUCAUCCGGUGAUGAGACUGUCUGCGUCCCGGCUUUAAAUGGCAAACACAUAAUGGCAGCCUGAUGGGUGGGUGUGUGGACCAAGGCCGGGAGCCUGCAGUGAGCUCCGCCCAUACGGCAGGGUGAGAGAAAGAGUAGUAAACAAAAACACAUGUAGCCUUGUGGGGCCAGCCGGGCAGACACGGGGACCAUGAUAGCCCUUAUUCAUUACUGCCAAUACAAAAGGAUCAAAAGUCUGUGCUGUGGAGAGACGCCGUAUGGCUCGGCACAACGUGGAGUUCUCUGUUGUAAUAAGACCUUGUACGAGGACAGAGAUGAUGGAGAGGAAUGUUCAGAGAUGGGUAUUCCUUACAACCCGGCUAAAGGGACCAUAUGUUGUUCUCAGUUUCAUGGCAGCCCAGGACAACACUGCUGUGGGACAGAAAUUUACCGGCCUCGUACUGAGAUCUGCUGCAAUGGACACAGACAUCUGAAAUCAGAAAACAUUCACUGCUGUGGGGUCAAAGCCUACAACAUUAAAGACCCACAGAUGAAGUGCUGUGCAGGAACACUGUACAAUCUGACAUCAUUAGACAAGCAUGGAGGGGAUGCGCAGUGCUGCGGAUCCAUUCUGCAAAAGCCACAGGACAUUUGCUGCUCAAGUGAGGACAAAGAGGUGCUCUACUCUGCCAAAAUAGGGUUCAGAUGCUGUGGUCACCUUUACUAUAACACCACCCUGUGGUCAUGCUGUGCUGGGGGGCUGAGAAGAAUCCGUGAACCAGGACAGGAUCAGAGAAAGAUGAUUAAUGGAUCCAGACUUCUAUCUGUGAAUAAUCUGAACAAAAUCGAUCUUUGCAAAGAAAUGCACAUUGGGACUGUGGAAAGUGUGUCGCUGCAGAGCAUUGUGUUCAGGAGUGUGCUGAAGGUCCAUGGGAUGGAGGCCAAAGUGAAAGCUCUGCCAUUCCCUUACAUCCUGGAAAGAGAUGAUCGCUGCAGCUCCCCUAAACUGAUUGCUGGGAAGACCUACUACUUUAACAAAGUUAAUGUUUUCAUUGAUUUCAAUCAUGACUCUGUUCUUCAGUCACUCCAUUUCAUUAUUUGCAAAUGUUCAUCUCAGGUCACCACUGGCUGAUGUAUACAUGGUCAGUGUGGAUCUGUUGCUCCCUUCUUUGAACAAGUUCUCUUUUUUCACAUAUUUACUCACAGUGUUGGCUUUGUCACACAGAAAAUUAAUUAAUUACACAUCACAUUAUACUGGUUAACAUUAUUUUACAAAGUAAUUUGUUACCAUAUUUAUUACAGAGUACUUGUUGCAUUGCAACCUAAUAUACUCACCCCAAAUUACUCUCUGAUGCACCCAUCACAGUGUGAAUGUUUGCUUGAACUUAAACACAGAAAGAAGUCGUUGUAUGAAUGUGUGAAUGAGGGACGUUGUAUCAAGCGCUUUGAGUGCUCAGGUAGGGUAGAAAAGUGUUAUAUAGAAGAACCUGUCCAUUUAUCAGUAGUAUACAAUACUUCACAUGAUAUGUUGUUUAUACAUUACUCUGCCUAUGUCCAGCCAAACCAUGUUGCUCUGUUGUUAACACAUCCCAAGAUGUCUUAUCACAGACAGAAUUUAGGUACUUUAAGUAAAGAAAACAAAAAACAAUGUAGCUUUUAACUUCAGUUUUACAGGGACUCACAUUGUAGUGAUUCACACAACUUGACAUUAAUCAAUACUGUAACACAGUAAGCUGGUGCACAAUGUUGUUUCUCAAAUCUAAAUUUGAACAAAAUCUAAAUGUAACUUUGAUUCUUGCACUGAUCUAAAAUACAAGGGACAACUGUGUGCACAUGUCCUUGAACCAUACAAUUCAAUACUUGUGGUAAAGUCCAUGAUUUACUGUGAUUGUUAAUUCUAAUGAAUGAUAAACACUUAAUGCCAAUAUCAUGAAUACAAAUAUGUUAGAAGGACCCACUAAAAAUUCCAUUAGUUUCUGUUUCUUUGAAUGUGAUUCAUGUAAAAUAGUUAAUGGUAAGGAUAGGUAUGGGAAUUUAAGAAUGGUAAGGAAUCUAGUAAGGACUUGAGGGACAUUUAAGCUAUAAGCAAACAUAAACACUGCCUGCUUGAUUUAGUGACUUUGUUGUUAAUAUAAUAUAUUGCAUAUAUAUAUUGUAAAUGUUUAAUAUUUGAAUGGACCUAUUAUCCUUUAAGGAUUCAAAUAAAUAAAUACAAACACUUAUUAAACCUGCUGUGUUUUCUCUUG
ensembl:lncRNA